CAACAAAGAGGAAUAAGAAAGAAAAAAAAGGAAGAAGAAGAAGAAAAAUAAAGAGAGAAAGAAGAAAUAAAAAAAUAAGAAAAGGAGAGAAAAGAAAAAAUGAAAAAAGAAGAAGAAGAAGAAGAAGAAAAAUAAAGAGAGGAAGAUAAAAUAAAAAGAUAAGAAAAGGAGAGAAAAGAAAAAAAGAAAAAAAAAAGAAAGAAGAAAAAGAAAGGCAUGAGAGAGAGAAAAAAAGAUAAGAAAGAAAAUAAAAAUAAAGAGAAGGAAAAGAGAAAAAAAAAAAAAUAGAUGUGUCAAUCAAGACUUUACCUUACCCUCACAACUUGAAAC
rnacentral:lncRNA from 1 species